CUGUAAUCCCUCAGGACCCGCUCGAUAGCCCCCGCUUCGCCGGCCCGGACGAUGUAGAGGGCGCGCUCCUCAUCCAUGGCCGCAGGUGCGGGGGAGCCACGGCCGCUCUGCGCGCCCAAGACGCUGCCUCCAGGCUGUUCCCACUACUUGGUUCCUCAUGGCCCAGCUGAAACCCCGAAACAGAAGAACAGCAAUCCCUGGUGGGACAUCUUACAUUGGAUGAUGAGUUUCCGGUGUUCAUCGCGAGAGUCUUCCAUGGUGUAAAGGGUUUGCUUGGUGAUGCUGUUCAGGUCCACGUUCCUCCAGUCUUCCAGCAUUUGGAAUGUGAUGUCUGCGCUGUGGAUCACUGUUCGAGAUGCCUGGAAUCCAAUCCAAUCAACUCAUUAGCUCAUGGGUUGUUAGGAAAGCACCAGAAGACUCCAUAACUCAGAAGAUGCAGACGCUGUUUUCUCCUGUGGCUCUUUCCACACAUCCCUUUUUCUCUACAAGAAACUACCAGGGUGGGCCGGGCCAGACCAGACCCUGCUGUUUCCAGUCCCUUUGGUCUUGACCCCAUGGAACAAUAGGAUGAAGCCUGAGAUCUGUCAGCUUUCCGAUGUAAGCCUGUGGGAUGGGAGCUCUGUGCUGAAUAAUCCUUGUGUCUCUAGUGCCUGAGAAGCCACAGGCCGAGAUUUAGAAGUAUUCUUGCUACCCUUGGGCCUGACCUAAUCCCAGAAAUUUCAAAGUGUGUAUUUUUCAUAUAAAUACAUUCUGAAGCAGUUUGUGCUCUA